ensembl:ncRNA W05H5.2 ncRNA
AAAGUGCAUAAAUGCUGAGACGAAUCACAUCUUCAGAGGAUUUAAACGAAUUAGUUCAUCGAAAAGCAGCAAAGGUAUGGAGAUGAAUUGGAUUCACCACCUCCGCACGGCCUAUGCACGAGGGGCCUCUGAAAAGAAGAUUUUCGGAGUUGUUUAAUUUCCCUGAUUCCUAUCCAUCAAAAGACAAGGAAGAAGAGAACUCAACAAGGAAGAAGAGAACUUGCUGCACAACGGAAAAAUUUUUAAUUUUGAAGUUUUUAAAUUUUUAA